rnacentral:rRNA from 1 species
GUAGGGGGCUAGCGUUGUCCGGAUUUAUUGGGCGUAAAGAGCGUGUAGGCGGCCAGGUAGGUCCGUUGUGAAAACUUGAGGCUUAACCUCGAGACGUCGAUGGAAACCAUCUGGCUAGAGUCCGGAAGAGGAGAGUGGAAUUCCUGGUGUAGCGGUGAAAUGCGCAGAUAUCAGGAAGAACACCCGUGGCGAAGGCGGCUCUCUGGGACGUGACUGACGCUGAGACGCGAAAGCGUGGGGAGCAAACAGGAUUAGAUACCCUGGUAGUCCACGCCGUAAACGAUGGGUGCUAGGUGUGGGCGGUGUCGACUCCGUCCGUGCCGAAGCUAACGCAUUAAGCACCCCGCCUGGGGAGUACGGCCGCAAGGCUAAA